UUAAGUAAAGGAGUGAUAUGAGCAGAAAGGUCUGUGUUGACAUGUUAAGUAAAGGAGUGAUAUGAGCAGAAAGGUGUUGACAUGUUAAGUAAAGGAGUGAUAUGAGCAGAAAGGUGUUGACAUGUUAAGUAAAGGAGUGAUAUGAGCAGAAAGGUGUUGACAUGUUAAGU